rnacentral:rRNA from 1 species
UACGUAGGGGGCUAGCGUUGUCCGGAAUCAUUGGGCGUAAAGAGCGCGUAGGCGGCCCGAUAAGUCCGGUGUGAAAGUCACAGGCUCAACCUGUGAAUGCCGCUGGAAACUGUCUGGCUAGAGUCCGGAAGGGGCGAGUGGAAUUCCUGGUGUAGCGGUGAAAUGCGCAGAUAUCAGGAGGAACACCAAUGGCGAAGGCAGCUCGCUGGGACGGUACUAACGCUGAGGCGCGAAAGCGUGGGGAGCGAACAGG